rnacentral:rRNA from 1 species
ACACUGACUGAGACACGGCCCAGACUCCUACGGGAGGCAGCAGUGGGGAAUUUUGGACAAUGGGGGCAACCCUGGUGGCGAGUGGCGAACGGGUGAGUAACACAUCGGAACGUACCCAGUUGUGGGGGAUAACCAGUCGAAAGACGGGCUAAUACCGCAUGAUCUGGCGACAGCAAAGCGGGGGAUCGGUAACGACCUCGCGCGAUUGGAGCGGCCGAUGUCCGAUUAGCUAGUUGGUGGGGUAAAGGCCCACCAAGGCUAUGAUCGGUAGCUGGUCUGAGAGGAUGAUCAGCCACACUGACUGAGACACGGCCCAGACUCCUACGGGAGGCAGCAGUGGGGAAUUUUGGACAAUGGGGGCAACCCUGAUCCAGCCAUGCCGCGUGAGUGAUAAGGCCUUCGGGUUGUAAAGCUCUUUCGGUAGGAACGAAACGGUUACGGUUAAUACCUGUGACUAAUGACGGUACUUACAGAAGAAGCACCGGCUAACUACGUGCCAGCAGCCGCGGUAAUACGUAGGGUGCGAGCGUUAAUCGGAAUUACUGGGCGUAAAGGGUGCGCAGGCGGUCUCGUAAGCUGGGUGUGAAAGCCCCGGGCUUAACCUGGGAAUGGCAUUCAGGACUGCGAGGCUUUGAGUGUGGCAGAGGGAGGUGGAAUUCCACGUGUAGCAGUGAAAUGCGUAGAGAUGUGGAGGAACACCGAUGGCGAAGGCAGCCUCCUGGGCCAGCACUGACGCUCAUGCACGAAAGCGUGGGGAGCAAACAGGAUUAGAUACCCUGGUAGUCCACGCCCUAAACGAUGUCAACUGGUUGUUGGUGGGGUUAAACCCAUUAGUAACGAAGCUAACGCGUGAAGUUGACCGCCUGGGGAGUACGGCCGCAAGGUUAAAACUCAAAGGAAUUGACGGGGACCCGCACAAGCGGUGGAUGAUGUGGAUUAAUUCGAUGCAACGCGAAGAACCUUACCUACCCUUGACAUGCCAGGGAGCUCGAUGAGAGUCGAGUGUGCCCGAAAGGGAGCCUGGACACAGGUGCUGCAUGGCUGUCGUCAGCUCGUGUCGUGAGAUGUUGGGUUAAGUCCCGCAACGAGCGCAACCCUUGUCACUAGUUGCUACGAAAGGGCACUCUAGUGAGACUGCCGGUGACAAACCGGAGGAAGGUGGGGAUGACGUCAAGUCCUCAUGGCCCUUAUGGGUAGGGCUUCACACGUCGUACAAUGGCGCAUACAGAGGGCUGCCAACCCGCGAGGGGGAGCCAAUCCCAGAAAGUGCGUCGUAGUCCGGAUUGCAGUCUGCAACUCGACUGCAUGAAGUCGGAAUCGCUAGUAAUCGCGGAUCAGCAAUGUCGCGGUGAAUACGUUCCCGGGUCUUGUACACACCGCCCGUCACACCAUGGGAGUGGGGUUCACCAGAAGCCGGUUGCCUAACCUCGCAAGAGGGGGGCGCUGACCACGGUGAGCUUCAUAACUGGGGUGAAGUCGUAACAAGGUA